GACAGGGUCUCACUAAGUCGUCCAAGUUGACUUCAUACUUGCGAUCCUCCUGCCUCAGCCUCCUGAGUAGUUGGAAUUGCAGGUGUGUACCUCCACUCCUGGCUGACUGGACUUCUAAAAAUUAAGGUGGAAUGUAUAUCAUCUAGGUGACUGGAAAAAAAACCAGUAAAUUUAAAAAUAAGUCUCAUUGUGAGAACAGUGAACCGGAGUAUCACGGAGGAAGGCAGCUAACCCAGGAGAAGUGAGGGCUUCGGGCUGCUCUCAACGCUGAGUUUUCACAUGAAACCUUAUGGGUUUUAAAGGUGGAGAGCAAUUGAUUAAAGGACCUUGAGCGGAUGUUGGUGAGAAUGUGGCCACAUUAGGAUGUUGAAAGAAGAUGGGGCUUUGACACCUGCCAGCCUUGGACAUGCAGGUUGUAACCUGAACAAAACUGUUUUCCGACCCUGCCUUGCUCAUCACAGAUGUUAAGGUCCAAAGAAGGCCCAGCACCGGGUGGAAGACAGAUGGAGAGCACAGCAGGAAGCCUGGGCCCAGUCAGAGAGGUGAGGGGAGCCCCUCCACCUUCCACCCGGUGACUUACGCGGGAGGAUAGGAGACAGCGGACUUGGUGGCAUUCCUGCUGGUGGCUCCCGGCACUGCAUCCUGCAGCUGGGUGCUCCUCUGUGUCUGAGUUCCCUGUUCUGAGAAUUGGUUGGUGUGAAGCGAGAGUGUCCAGCGUGGCAUCUUCCUUGAUGAUCGUCCUCUGGUUAAGCUGUGUUAACUGUGUUCAUGGGACAGAGAAAACCUGUGACUGAAUGAAAUGUACAGAGGUCUGUACCCCGAAAACCCUGGCCUAGUUUUACUCCCCUCUCUGCUCUCUAAUAUUUCACUGCACCGUUUCUGUCACUCCAGGGGCCUUUGGGACAGUGGCUACUUCUCACCUUGGCACAUAAACACCUGCUUUUCCUUCUACAGAGCAGCACCCUCAUUACCACAUACUCCAGUGUACAAACCAGCUGAGUUCUCUGACACUAGGCAUGCUAUUUCAUGGUUCUGGGCUUGUAUAGUCUGGUCAAUAUUAUCAGCUGUCUACUGUGUGCCAGGCGCUGUGCUAAACAGUAUGACCCCUCCUCAGAGCAUCCUGUUGAAGUCUUGGUUGUUGUCUCCAUACAAGAGAGGACUGAGGUUCAAAGAAAUGAAAUAAUUCGCCUAGGUUCACACAGCUAAGUGACAGAGUUGGGAUGGGAAUGCAGGUUUAACUCCAAAGCCUGAUUUUUCUUGUUAAAAUAUAGAAAAAAAUGUAUCAAUUAGCCUUUUUAAAGUGUAUUAUUCUGCAGCAUUAAAUACAUUCACUUUGUUAGGCAGCUAUCACUACCAUCCAUAUUCAGAAUUUAACUUUUCCCAUCUAAGACUCUGUAUCCAUCAGACACCAACUUCCCAUUUCCCCUCCCUGGAGUCCCUGGAACUACCCUCCUAAUCUUGUCUAUGGAUUUGACUGCUCCAGCUAGCUUGUGUAAGUACAAUCAACCAAAUUUGUCCUUUUGUGACUGGCUUAUUUUAUUGAGCUACUAGUAUUUUAUCUUUGAUCACUACCCAGGCUGGCAGCUGGCAGGUGUCUUUGCUGUAAAGUUAUUCUUUAUUCUCCUCGUAAAAAUAAAUAUCUUUGAGUCA